UGUGGAAGGGGAUAUAUCAGGGGGUGCUGUGCUCAUUGCUGGAUUCAUCAUGGAUGAGUUCAGGGCUGAAUGUGCUGUAGGAGGUGGAGCCUGGUUGGAGCAGGUCUCUGGGGCAUGACCUGGAAGGAUGCAUUCUUGUUCCCAGCUCCUCCCUUCUCUCUCUGCUUCCUGGCCACCAUGAGGCAAGGAGCCUUUCCAUACCAGCCUCUUCCACCAUGAUGUUCCUGCUUUGGAGCCAGCUGACCAUGGACUGAACCCUCUGAAACUAAGUCUUGCUUCCAAGGGAGGAAUGAACCAGGAGGCACAGCACCAAUUCCAUGGCAUGGGAAGUGAGGGCUUCUACUUGGUCACUUGAGGAUCCUCAUAUCUCAGAACCAGCAGGUAAGGAAGGGACUUACUAUGCUGCUCCUGACCACCUGGGGAACUGGACAGUCGAGGUGAGGAGGAACAUGUCUGGAAUACAAGAGAUCUUGUCUAGAAGUGACUCACAAGGAGGAAAUGACCCUGCUUGACUUCUGAAACUUGGUCAUUCAAGGCCACCUGGCCCAUGGGAUGCUCACAUCUGGACUACAGCCGCCAUGUUGUGCGAAAACCAGGCCAGUGAGGUGCCCCAGCUGUUGGAUGACAUGUGGAUGACCAAACCUUCUAAUGCCCCCAGCCUUUGGGCCCGGGGCCUUCCGGCAGAAGCGCUGGGCACAGCGGAAAUGAGAUGACCUCACCUGCCAUGCCCUGCCCCUGUUCCUUGCACGUGGAAUCUGCAUCUGUGAGCAGAAUAAAUGGAUUUUUUUCUUUUGGCAGUACUGGGGAUGGGAACCAGGGCUUUCACACUGAGCUACGCCCUCAGCCAUUUUUAUUUUUCUUUCUGCACAGAGUUCACUAAAUUGCUAAGUUGCCUGAACUGGACUCGAGCUUGAGCCCCCCCCCCCACCUCAUCCUUCCGGAGUGCUGCGGUUACCAGCAUUUGCCACCAUACCCAGCAUAAAUGGAUGCUUUUAGCCACCAGAUUUUGAGCAAUUGGGUCAGAUGGGGCUUGUUGUCAAAGCACAGAAGUGAAGGAGUGGCACGGAUGCCGAGCUAUCAAAGGACUGUUGAAAGGGAAACACUACUAUGAAGUAUCCUGUCAUGACCAAGGGCUCUGCAGUGUCGGGUGGUCUACCAUGCAGACCUCCUUAGACCUUGGUACUGACAAGUUUGGAUUCGGCUUUGGUGGAACGGGAAAGAAAUCCCACAGUAAACAGUUUGAUAAUUAUGGAGAGGUGGGAACUACAAAGGCCACGUGGACAUCCUGGUCCCUACCAUCCAGGAGCUGGCUGCCCUGGAGAAGGAGGCCCAGACCUCCUUCCUGCACCUGGGCUACCUCCCCAACCAGCUCUUCAGGACCUUCUGAGCUGCGGCCCGAGUUGGCACACUGCAAGCGCACUGUGCAUCACACAAGCUCUGCAGGCCAGGAGCCGCCCGGUGAAAAUAAACCUGCCGGCUGCAUUCUCAUGGCGGCGUGUGUCUUAUUGCACAGUUACACUGACAUACUUUUUUCUUUUUUUCAGUUUUCAUUCGCACAUGUGGGUGGUACUUACACUUACACAUCCCGGGAGGUCGGUCCGUGUGUGUAACACAUCUUGACUCUUGUUUGUCCCUCCCCACAGCUCC